rnacentral:lncRNA from 1 species
CCUCCCUGUGUACAUCACUCCCAGCAAGGAGCUGCUGAAGCCAUCGAAGCCUCACUGAAAUGACAGUAAGGUUUAGCAGAGAAUGUAAUUCUGCCUUCCCACUUAACAGCUUUACCAGUAAGUUGCUGCUUUUUCCUUACAUGGGGAUGUGGUUGGUGGGGACAUUCUUUUAUAAUGAAAAGGCAGUUCUUGGGACCAAAAACCACUUGCCCAACAUUUCUAGCGUGUAAGGCAGAAAAACAGAGUUAAAAAACAAACUUUUACUGAAAUACGCUAUUUUUAGACUUAUUUCCCAGCUUUUGCAGCCCAAGCUUCUGCCUGCCAGAUCUGAGGCAGAGCCCAGUUCACUGGAGCUGUCCCAAAACAUUCAAAUCUGGUCCGAAUCUAAGUCUGUAUCAGCCCAGAUGUGGAGCCUAGCAUCAGAGCAGAAUUUGGGAUCAUUGAAGUGCCACAAUCAGCUGCAGGACUAUCAUGCUGGCAAAACCACCUAUGAGACAUCUGUGAGGAGAGAAACGAACAAUACCCUCUCCUUGACUCACUGCAAGGAGGGGGAAAUAGAAAUGCAUGCAUUGAAGAUUGCCUGUGGUAGCAGUGAUGGUAUUUCUUGCUCUGCAGAAAAUGAAUUAAUUUAGACAGUGACAUUAUUAAACUUGUAUUGGAGAACAGAGAGCAGCUGUAAGCACCUUUCCUGCUCAGAGGUUGUGCCCCAUGCCUGGGACGAGGCUGGAGUCCGGCAUGUGACCUGAGAAAUUCCAGCCCUUGCCCUGCCUCUUAGGGACUGCCAGCUUCCACCUUAGUCAAAUGUGGGAAUGAAGCCAUAGCUGGGCAAAGAGGAAAAAAAAAAAAGGUAGAAAGAAAGCUGUACAGGCCACAGGCCCUCAGGAAAAGGGCUGCAUUUCAAGAUAAAACCUUUAGCUCUAAACACAAAUGGUGUGUUUGUAAAACAGCACAGAAUCUCAGCUGCUGGAAACGAAACAGUAAUAAGUAGCAACACUGCAGUGUGUCUUGAAGAGUUUGUCUAUUUUUUUAAAAUAUACUUUUGCCCCUUCACAGUCUCCUGCUUGUUCACAAUGUCCUGAAUAUAUCUUCUGCUGCCUUGCCCUUGCCAACAUCAUUUUGCAGCAGAUUAAUUGCAUCUUCUUUCCUAUAAGUAUUU